ACGUAGGGGGCGAGCGUUGUCCGGAAUCACUGGGCGUAAAGCGCGUGUAGGCGGCAAGGCAAGUCUGGUGUGAAAGUUCGAGGCUCAACCUCGAGUCUGCACCUGAAACUGCCUUGCUUGAGUCAGGGAGAGGAGACUGGAAUUCCUGGUGUAGCGGUGAAAUGCGCAGAUAUUAGGAGGAACACCGGUGGCGAAGGCGACUUUCUGGGCAUUUACUGACGCUGAGGCGCGAAAGCGUGGGGAGCAAACAG
rnacentral:rRNA from 1 species